UACGUAGGUGGCAAGCGUUGUCCGGAUUUAUUGGGUUUAAAGGGUGCGUAGGCGGUUUUCUAAGUCAGCAGUGAAAUACGGCAGCUCAACUGUCGAGGUGCUGUUGAUACUGGGGAACUUGAGUACUGAUGAGGUAGGCGGAAUGGACGGUGUAGCGGUGAAAUGCUUAGAGAUCGUCCAGAACACCGAUAGCGAAGGCAGCUUACUAAGGAGUAGCUGACGCUGAGGCACGAAAGUGUGGGGAUCAAACAGG
rnacentral:rRNA from 1 species